UACGGAGGGGGCUAGCGUUGUUCGGAAUUACUGGGCGUAAAGCGCACGUAGGCGGAUAUUUAAGUCAGGGGGUGAAAUCCCGGGGCUCAACCCCGGAACUGCCUUUGAUACUGGGUAUCUGGAGGUCGAGAGAGGCGAGUGGAAUUCCGAGUGUAGAGGUGAAAAUUCGUAGAUAUUCGCAAGAACACCAGUGGCGAAGGCGGCUCACUGGCCCGGUACUGACGCUGAGGUGCGAAAGCGUGGGGAGCAAACAGGG
rnacentral:rRNA from 1 species